rnacentral:rRNA from 1 species
GUCGACCGCCUGGGGAGUACGGCCGCAAGGUUAAAACUCAAAUGAAUUGACGGGGGCCCGCACAAGCGGUGGAGCAUGUGGUUUAAUUCGAUGCAACGCGAAGAACCUUACCUACUCUUGACAUCCAGAGAACUUAGCAGAGAUGCUUUGGUGCCUUCGGGAACUCUGAGACAGGUGCUGCAUGGCUGUCGUCAGCUCGUGUUGUGAAAUGUUGGGUUAAGUCCCGCAACGAGCGCAACCCUUAUCCUUUGUUGCCAGCGGUUCGGCCGGGAACUCAAAGGAGACUGCCAGUGAUAAACUGGAGGAAGGUGGGGAUGACGUCAAGUCAUCAUGGCCCUUACGAGUAGGGCUACACACGUGCUACAAUGGCAUAUACAAAGAGAAGCGACCUCGCGAGAGCAAGCGGACCUCAUAAAGUAUGUCGUAGUCCGGAUUGGAGUCUGCAACUCGACUCCAUGAAGUCGGAAUCGCUAGUAAUCGUGGAUCAGAAUGCCACGGUGAAUACGUUCCCGGGCCUUGUACACACCGCCCGUCACACCAUGGGAGUGGGUUGCAAAAGAAGUAGGUAGCUUAACCUUCGGGAGGGCGCUUACCACUUUGUGAUUCAUGACUGGGGUGAAGUCGUAACAAGGUAACCGUAGGGGAACCUGCGGUUGGAUCACCUCCUUA